rnacentral:rRNA from 1 species
UGGGGAAUUUUCCGCAAUGGGCGAAAGCCUGACGGAGCAACGCCGCGUGUGUGAUGAAGGGUUUCGGCUCGUAAAACACUGUUGUAAGAGAAGAAUGACAUUGAGAGUAACUGUUCAAUGUGUGACGGUAUCUUACCAGAAAGGAACGGCUAAAUACGUGCCAGCAG